UUGCCUUAAACUAAUGAGUAAGGAAAAUUACGAGCCCUGCUAACGCUCGGCUCAGCUUCCUCUCUGCAGUUGUCAUCAACUGCGUAAGCGAUCAAAUG